CCUACGGGAGGCAGCAGUGAGGAAUCUUCCACAAUGGGCGAAAGCCUGAUGGAGCGACACCGCGUGAAGGAUGAAGCCUUUGUUGGUGUAAACUUCUUUUCUCUUGGAAGAUAAUGACGGUACAAGAGGAAUAAGGGGCGGCAAACUUCGUGCCAGCAGCCGCGGUAAUACGAGGGCCCCAAGCGUUAUCCGGAAUUACUGGGCGUAAAGCGUCUGUAGGUGGUUUUUUAAGUUUCGUAUGAAACUCCAGGGCUCAACCCUGGAUUGUGCGAAAAACUGGGGAACUUGAGUGUGGGAGAGGCAAGCAGAACGGUAUGAGUAGGGGUGCAAUCCGUUGAUACAUACCAGAAUACCAAAAGCGAAGGCAGCUUGCUGGAACACUACUGACACUGAGAGACGAAAGCGUGGGGAGCGAAAGGGAUUAGAUACCCCUGUAGUCCACGCCCUAAACGAUGGAUGCUAGGUGUUGGACGUAAGUUCAGUGCUCAAGCUAACGCAUUAAGCAUCCCGCCUGAGGAGUACGGCCGCAAGGUUAAAACUCAAAUGAAUAGACGGGGACCCGCACAAGCAGUGGAUCAUGUGGUUUAAUUCGACAAUAAACGAGGAACCUCACCUAGGCUUGACAUUGAUAGAAUCCACCAGAAAUGGAGGAGUGCCCGCAAGGGAGCUUGAAAACAGGCGCUGCAUGGUUGUCGUCAGCUCGUGCCUUGAGGUGUUCGGUUAAGUCCGUUAACGAGCGCAACCCACGUCGUUAGUUACUAUGUCUAACGAGACUGCUUGAGUUAAUCAAGAGGAAGGUGUGGAUGACGUCAAAUCAGCAUGGCCCUUAUGCCUAGGGCUACACACAUGAUACAAUGGUCGGUACAAACAGUCGCAAUACAGCAAUGUGGAGCCAAUCUGAAAAAGCCGAUCUCAGUCCAGAUUGGGGGCUGCAACUCGCCCCCAUGAAGUUGGAAUUGCUAGUAAUCGUAAAUCAGCUAUGUUACGGUGAAUCUGUUCCCGGGUCUUGUACUCACCGCCCGUCAAACCAUGGGAGGUGUGCGUACCUUAAGCCCUUCGAGCAAUACGGAGGUCCACGGUAAACACACUGACUGGGGUUAAGUCGUAACAAGGUAUCCGUACGUGAACGUGCGGAUG
rnacentral:rRNA from 1 species